CCUACGGGAGGCAGCAGUGAGGAAUAUUGGUCAAUGGGCGCGAGCCUGAACCAGCCAAGUAGCGUGAAGGAUGACUGCCCUACGGGUUGUAAACUUCUUUUAUAAAAGAAUAAAGUUAGGCACGUGUGCCUUUUUGUAUGUACUUUAUGAAUAAGGAUCGGCUAACUCCGUGCCAGCAGCCGCGGUAAUACGGAGGAUCCGAGCGUUAUCCGGAUUUAUUGGGUUUAAAGGGAGCGUAGAUGGGUUGUUAAGUCAGUUGUGAAAGUUUGCGGCUCAACCGGAAAAUUGCAAUUGAUACUGGCAGUCUUGAGUACAGUUGAGGUAGGCGGAAUUCGUGGUGUAGCGGUGAAAUGCUUAGAGAUCAUGAAGAACUCCGAUUGCGAAGGCAGCUCACUGGACUGUAACUGACACUGAGGCUCGAAAGUGUGGGGAUCAAACAGGAUUAGAUACCCGUGUAGUC
rnacentral:rRNA from 1 species